rnacentral:rRNA from 1 species
GUCUAUGGCCAUGCCACCCUGAACAAGCCUGAUCCCGGCUGAUCGCGGAAGCUAAGCAGGGUUGGGCCUGAUUAGUACUUGGAUGGGAGACCAGGUGCUGUAGGCG